rnacentral:rRNA from 1 species
UACGAAGGGGGCUAGCGUUGUUCGGAAUUGCUGGGCGUAAAGCGCACGUAGGCGGAUACUUAAGUUAGGGGUGAAAUCCCAGGGCUCAACCCUGGAACUGCCUUUAAUACUGGGUAUCUUGAGUUCGAGAGAGGUGAGUGGAAUUCCGAGUGUAGAGGUGAAAUUCGUAGAUAUUCGGAGGAACACCAGUGGCGAAGGCGGCUCACUGGCUCGAUACUGACGCUGAGGUGCGAAAGCGUGGGGAGCAAACAGG